rnacentral:lncRNA from 1 species
UCACGGAUAAUGUGGUCAAUAUGAUAUUUUAAGUGUUUGACACGAACCGUGAUGGGAGUUCCUUAGAUUCUACAAACACAGGAAAGGAGAGUCUCGCUACCGAUGGAGGCCGGUUUCAGGGAAUUUUUGUCUUGCUUGUGGAACUGUACAAACAAUUUCUUUUAUUCCAAGAUUCUACUUUAGGUUUUUCUUUUCUCCGACAGAAGCUGAGAGAGGCUUCUCUGUGUUUUGUAUUUUGCGAGACUAAGAAACAAC